rnacentral:rRNA from 8 species
GUUGGUGUUGAUGACGCUGAGGGUCCACCUGUUCCCAUACCGAACACAGAAGUUAAGCUCAGUGGUGCCGAAAAUACUUGGCUGGUGACGGCCCGGGAAGAUAGGGAGAUGCCAACA